rnacentral:rRNA from 1 species
CGAACGGGUGAGUAACACGUGAGAAACCCACCUCGAAGUUUGGAAUAACUCAGGGAAACUUGAGCUAAUACCAAAUACCCUCUUUUGAUCGCAUGGUCAGUAGAGGAAAGAUUUAUCGCUUCGGGACGGUCUCGCGGCCUAUCAGCUAGUUGGUGAGGUAACGGCUCACCAAGGCAUCGACGGGUAGCUGGUCUGAGAGGACGAUCAGCCACACUGGGACUGAGACACGGCCCAG